rnacentral:rRNA from 1 species
UACGAAGGGGGCUAGCGUUGUUCGGAAUUACUGGGCGUAAAGCGCACGUAGGCGGAUCGAUCAGUCAGGGGUGAAAUCCCAGAGCUCAACUCUGGAACUGCCUUUGAUACUGUCGAUCUGGAGUAUGGAAGAGGUGAGUGGAAUUCCGAGUGUAGAGGUGAAAUUCGUAGAUAUUCGGAGGAACACCAGUGGCGAAGGCGCUCAGCUGGUCCGAUUACGUGACGCUUGAGGUGCGAAAGCGUGGGGAGCAAACAGGAUUGAGAAACCCCAGG